rnacentral:rRNA from 1 species
UUAAGCGACUAAGCGUACACGGUGGAUGCCCUGGCAGUCAGAGGCGAUGAAGGACGUGCUAAUCUGCGAUAAGCGUCGGUAAGGUGAUAUGAACCGUUAUAACCGGCGAUUUCCGAAUGGGGAAACCCAGUGUGUUUCGACACACUAUCAUUAACUGAAUCCAUAGGUUAAUGAGGCGAACCGGGGGAACUGAAACAUCUAAGUACCCCGAGGAAAAGAAAUCAACCGAGAUUCCCCCAGUAGCGGCGAGCGAACGGGGAGCAGCCCAGAGCCUGAAUCAGUGUGUGUGUUAGUGGAAGCGUCUGGAAAGGCGCGCGAUACAGGGUGACAGCCCCGUACACAAAAAUGCACAUGCUGUGAGCUCGAUGAGUAGGGCGGGACACGUGGUAUCCUGUCUGAAUAUGGGGGGACCAUCCUCCAAGGCUAAAUACUCCUGACUGACCGAUAGUGAACCAGUACCGUGAGGGAAAGGCGAAAAGAACCCCGGCGAGGGGAGUGAAAAAGAACCUGAAACCGUGUACGUACAAGCAGUGGGAGCACGCUUAGGCGUGUGACUGCGUACCUUUUGUAUAAUGGGUCAGCGACUUAUAUUCUGUAGCAAGGUUAACCGAAUAGGGGGGCCGAAGGGAAACCGAGUCUUAACUGGGCGUUAAGUUGCAGGGUAUAGACCCGAAACCCGGUGAUCUAGCCAUGGGCAGGUUGAAGGUUGGGUAACACUAACUGGAGGACCGAACCGACUAAUGUUGAAAAAUUAGCGGAUGACUUGUGGCUGGGGGUGAAAGGCCAAUCAAACCGGGAGAUAGCUGGUUCUCCCCGAAAGCUAUUUAGGUAGCGCCUCGUGAAUUCAUCUCCGGGGGUAGAGCACUGUUUCGGCAAGGGGGUCAUCCCGACUUACCAACCCGAUGCAAACUGCGAAUACCGGAGAAUGUUAUCACGGGAGACACACGGCGGGUGCUAACGUCCGUCGUGAAGAGGGAAACAACCCAGACCGCCAGCUAAGGUCCCAAAGUCAUGGUUAAGUGGGAAACGAUGUGGGAAGGCCCAGACAGCCAGGAUGUUGGCUUAGAAGCAGCCAUCAUUUAAAGAAAGCGUAAUAGCUCACUGGUCGAGUCGGCCUGCGCGGAAGAUGUAACGGGGCUAAACCAUGCACCGAAGCUGCGGCAGCGACGCUUAUGCGUUGUUGGGUAGGGGAGCGUUCUGUAAGCCUGCGAAGGUGUGCUGUGAGGCAUGCUGGAGGUAUCAGAAGUGCGAAUGCUGACAUAAGUAACGAUAAAGCGGGUGAAAAGCCCGCUCGCCGGAAGACCAAGGGUUCCUGUCCAACGUUAAUCGGGGCAGGGUGAGUCGACCCCUAAGGCGAGGCCGAAAGGCGUAGUCGAUGGGAAACAGGUUAAUAUUCCUGUACUUGGUGUUACUGCGAAGGGGGGACGGAGAAGGCUAUGUUGGCCGGGCGACGGUUGUCCCGGUUUAAGCGUGUAGGCUGGUUUUCCAGGCAAAUCCGGAAAAUCAAGGCUGAGGCGUGAUGACGAGGCACUACGGUGCUGAAGCAACAAAUGCCCUGCUUCCAGGAAAAGCCUCUAAGCAUCAGGUAACAUCAAAUCGUACCCCAAACCGACACAGGUGGUCAGGUAGAGAAUACCAAGGCGCUUGAGAGAACUCGGGUGAAGGAACUAGGCAAAAUGGUGCCGUAACUUCGGGAGAAGGCACGCUGAUAUGUAGGUGAAGUCCCUCGCGGAUGGAGCUGAAAUCAGUCGAAGAUACCAGCUGGCUGCAACUGUUUAUUAAAAACACAGCACUGUGCAAACACGAAAGUGGACGUAUACGGUGUGACGCCUGCCCGGUGCCGGAAGGUUAAUUGAUGGGGUUAGCCGCAAGGCGAAGCUCUUGAUCGAAGCCCCGGUAAACGGCGGCCGUAACUAUAACGGUCCUAAGGUAGCGAAAUUCCUUGUCGGGUAAGUUCCGACCUGCACGAAUGGCGUAAUGAUGGCCAGGCUGUCUCCACCCGAGACUCAGUGAAAUUGAACUCGCUGUGAAGAUGCAGUGUACCCGCGGCAAGACGGAAAGACCCCGUGAACCUUUACUAUAGCUUGACACUGAACAUUGAGCCUUGAUGUGUAGGAUAGGUGGGAGGCUUGGAAGUGUGGACGCCAGUCUGCAUGGAGCCGACCUUGAAAUACCACCCUUUAAUGUUUGAUGUUCUAACGUUGACCCGUAAUCCGGGUUGCGGACAGUGUCUGGUGGGUAGUUUGACUGGGGCGGUCUCCUCCUAAAGAGUAACGGAGGAGCACGAAGGUUGGCUAAUCCUGGUCGGACAUCAGGAGGUUAGUGCAAUGGCAUAAGCCAGCUUGACUGCGAGCGUGACGGCGCGAGCAGGUGCGAAAGCAGGUCAUAGUGAUCCGGUGGUUCUGAAUGGAAGGGCCAUCGCUCAACGGAUAAAAGGUACUCCGGGGAUAACAGGCUGAUACCGCCCAAGAGUUCAUAUCGACGGCGGUGUUUGGCACCUCGAUGUCGGCUCAUCACAUCCUGGGGCUGAAGUAGGUCCCAAGGGUAUGGCUGUUCGCCAUUUAAAGUGGUACGCGAGCUGGGUUUAGAACGUCGUGAGACAGUUCGGUCCCUAUCUGCCGUGGGCGCUGGAGAACUGAGGGGGGCUGCUCCUAGUACGAGAGGACCGGAGUGGACGCAUCACUGGUGUUCGGGUUGUCAUGCCAAUGGCACUGCCCGGUAGCUAAAUGCGGAAGAGAUAAGUGCUGAAAGCAUCUAAGCACGAAACUUGCCCCGAGAUGAGUUCUCCCUGACUCCUUGAGAGUCCUGAAGGAACGUUGAAGACGACGACGUUGAUAGGCCGGGUGUGUAAGCGCAGCGAUGCGUUGAGCUAACCGGUACUAAUGAACCGUGAGGCUUAACCUU